rnacentral:rRNA from 1 species
UUCGAUGCAACGCGAAGAACCUUACCUGGGCUUGACAUCCCGGGAAUCCCUUGGAAACAAGGGAGUGCCGUUCGGGGAACCUGGAGACAGGUGCUGCAUGGCUGUCGUCAGCUCGUGUCGUGAGAUGUAGGGUUAAGUCCCGCAACGAGCGCAACCCUGCCCUUAGUUGCCAGCGGUUAGGCCGGGCACUCUAAGGGGACUGCCGGCGACGAGCCGGAGGGAGGAGGGGAUGACGUCAGAUACUCGUGCCCCUUAUGUCCUGGGCGACACACGCGCUACAAUGGGGUGGACAGCGGGAAGCGAGGCAGCGAUGCUGAGCAAAUCCCUGAAACCACCCCCCAGUUCAGAUUGUGGGCUGAAACCCGCCCACAUGAAGCCGGAAUCGCUAGUAAUCGCGGAUCAGCCACGCCGCGGUGAAUACGUUCCCGGGCCUU